CACCCCUUUCACUCACCUCCCUCAUCACUCUCACUCUCGAUCUCUCUCCCGCUGCUCUCCCAACUUUCGUUCCCGCUGCUCUCCCUCCCUCCCAUGAUGGAUCCAAUGGCUUUCAAGCCUGAAAACGCUGCGUUUGAAGCUCUGGUUUUCGAGUGAUCUUUGUGAGUGGAGUUCGUAAAGAUAGAGAGGGACUCCUUGCAUCACUGAUUGUGUGAUGGCAGAGCUUGAGAAGCAAGGUCAGAAAUAUCGAGUUGCUUUGAGGACGGAUAGUUCCUUGAGGUUCGGUUGGUUUUUCCUGUUCUACUUGAUUCACAUUGGGUUUUGUAUUUUCGCUGCUAUUGCGCCGCCACUUGUCUUUCAUGGGAAGUCAUUGACAUAAGUUAAUUGAUUUAUGAGCUGUGUGGACUGAAGUUUCAAACGGGUUUGAUUUCCAUAUUAAUAUAGCAUAUAAUUAUAUUUGUAAUGAAGCCUGUUGUGGAAGUAGAUUUGACGAAAAAUAAUGCUCGAGCACUUUAGUUGUUUUUCACAUGUUUAGUGGUGGUAGCAUACAAAUUGUAGUAAAGCAAUAUAAUGUUUUAAUUAUGUCUACAAUAAAUUUGUCCUUGCUAUUUCUGAGCUGUAUGAACUUAAGUUUCAAACAGGGUUGAUUACCAUAUUAAUAUAGUAUAGACAAGCUGUUUGUUGUGGAAGAACAUUUGACGAAAAUAAUGCUCGGGGAUUUUGGUUGUUUGUGACGUGUAGUGACGGGUAUAUGAAAGUUGU